UACGAAGGGGGCUAGCGUUGCUCGGAAUCACUGGGCGUAAAGCGCACGUAGGCGGACUCUUAAGUCGGUGGUGAAAUCCUGGAGCUCAACUCCAGAACUGCCUUCGAUACUGAGAGUCUCGAGUCCGAGAGAGGUGAGUGGAACUGCGAGUGUAGAGGUGAAAUUCGUAGAUAUUCGCAAGAACACCAGUGGCGAAGGCGGCUCACUGGCUCGGUACUGACGCUGAGGUGCGAAAGCAUGGGGAGCGAACAGGA
rnacentral:rRNA from 1 species